AUUUAGAUGCACUAUUGUAAAGUGGUUGUUCCACUGGAUAUCAUAAGGAGAGAGAAGGCCCUGACUCUAUGACCCAAACAGUGAAAAACCCUCAGAAGGCAGAGAAGGAUGUAAUGAAUCGUGGACGGAGUGCGUCUGUCCCUCGAAGAAGGGCAAGAUCGCAGGACGAGAAAUCUGUUUGCCGUGAGAGAGGCAGAUCCAGGAUCAGACGCCACUGCCCAAUUUUGUGGACUACUCUCAGAACGCAGAGAGGGACGUAAUGACUCACGGAUGGAGUGUGUCAUCGAUCCCUCAAAGAAUGGCAAUAACUGAAGACGAGAAAACUGUCUGCCGUGAGAGAGGCAGAUCCAGGACCAGACGUCACUGCCCAACUUCGAUCCGUACACAGGAGAGAGACGGCACUGACUCUGUGAACCAAACAGCGGAACACCCACAGAAGGCAGAGGGGAAUGUAAUUAAUCGCGGACGCAGUGUGUCUAUCCGCCCAAGAAGGCCAAUAACAGAUGACAAGAAAAUGAUCAGCCAUCAGAGAGGCCGUUCCAGGACCAGACACCACUGCCCAACUUCGAUCCAUACAAAGGUGAGAGAUGGCACGGACUCCCAAACAGUGGAACCUGCACUGACUCCCACUGACUCCCAAACAGUAGAGCACCCCCAGAA